rnacentral:rRNA from 1 species
CCUACGGGUGGCUGCAGUGGGGAAUAUUGGGCAAUGGAGGCAACUCUUACCCAGCAAUGCCGCGUGAAUGAUGAAGGUCCUCGGAUUGUAAAGUUCUUAAUUGGGGACGAAAAAAAUGACGAUACCCAACGAAUAAGCCCCGGCUAACUACGGGCCAGCAGCCGGGGUAAUACGAAGGGGGCAAGCGGUGUUCGGAAUGACUGGGCGUAAAGGGUGUGUAGGCGGUGUAGCAAGUUAGAAGUGAAAUACCUAGAGCUUAACACAGGUGCUGGUUCUAAAACUGCUAUACUUGAGUGCAGUAGAGGAAAGUGGAAUUCCUAGUGUAGCGGUGGAAUGCGUAGAUAUUAGGAGGAACAUCAGUGGCGAAGGCGACUUUCUGGACUGUAACUGACGCUGAGGCACGAAGGUGUGGGGAGCAAACAGGAUUAGAUACCCUGGUAGUC